UCCUCCUUUUUUAUGAUGACAAAAUCCACAUCCAAUCUUGUUUGAUGCAUAGCUUGAUGAUGGUUAUAGAAUGCAUGGUUGUUAAAUUUAAAGUUAAAGCUCAUUGCUCCCCCUUAAUGUAAGUAGGUAGCGAAAACAAAAUGGAAGCUGAAUUCUGUUUACAACCUUCAAACACAUCAAACAGCAAAGCAACUUUUCUC
rnacentral:lncRNA from 1 species